rnacentral:rRNA from 1 species
AUUGAACGCUGGCGGCAUGCCUUACACAUGCAAGUCGAACGGUAACGCGGGGCAACCUGGCGACGAGUGGCGAACGGGUGAGUAAUAUAUCGGAACGUGCCCAGUAGUGGGGGAUAGCCCGGCGAAAGCCGGAUUAAUACCGCAUGAGACCUGAGGGUGAAAGCGGGGGAGUCGCAAGACCUCGCGCUAUUGGAGCGGCCGAUAUCAGAUUAGGUAGUUGGUGGGGUAAAGGGACCUACCAAGCCGACGAUCUGUAGCUGGUCUGAGAGGACGACCAGCCACACUGGGACUGAGACACGGCCCAGACUCCUACGGGAGGCAGCAGUGGGGGAAGUUUU